CAGCCGCCGCGGUAAUACCGGCGGCCCGAGUGGCGGUCACUAUUAUUGGGCUUAAAGCGUCCGUAGCCGGGUUGGGAAAUCCUCCGGGAAAUCUGGCCGCUUAACGGUCAGAAUGCCGGAGGAUACUCCCAGCCUAGGGAGCGGGAGAGGCCGAGGGGAUUCCCGGAGUAGGGGGGAAAUCCUAUAAUCCCGGGAGGACCACCUGUGGCGAAGGCGCCCGGCUGGAACGCGUCCGACGGUGAGGGACGAAGGCCAGGGGAGCAAACCGGAUUAGAUACCCGGGUAGUCCUGGCUGUAAACGAUGCGGACUUUGUGUCGGACAAGCUAUGAGCUUGUCCGGUGCCGGAGGGAAACCGUUAAGUCCGCCGCCUGGGGAGUACGGCCGCAAGGCUGAAACUUAAAGGAAUUGGCGGG
rnacentral:rRNA from 1 species